GACGAACGCUGGCGGCGUGCCUAAUACAUGCAAGUUGAGCGCUGAAGGUUGGUACUUGUACCAACUGGAUGAGCAGCGAACGGGUGAGUAACGCGUGGGGAAUCUGCCUUUGAGCGGGGGACAACAUUUGGAAACGAAUGCUAAUACCGCAUAAAAACUUUAAACACAAGUUUUAAGUUUGAAAGAUGCAAUUGCAUCACUCAAAGAUGAUCCCGCGUUGUAUUAGCUAGUUGGUGAGGUAAAGGCUCACCAAGGCGAUGAUACAUAGCCGACCUGAGAGGGUGAUCGGCCACAUUGGGACUGAGACACGGCCCAAACGCCUACGGGAGGCAGCAGUAGGGAAUCUUCGGCAAUGGACGAAAGUCUGACCGAGCAACGCCGCGUGAGUGAAGAAGGUUUUCGGAUCGUAAAACUCUGUUGGUAGAGAAGAACGUUGGUGAGAGUGGAAAGCUCAUCAAGUGACGGUAACUACCCAGAAAGGGACGGCUAACUACGUG
rnacentral:rRNA from 1 species